UACGUAGGUGGCAAGCGUUGUCCGGAUUUAUUGGGUUUAAAGGGUGCGUAGGCGGCCCUGUAAGUCAGUGCUGAAAUAUCCCAGCUUAACUGGGAGGGUGGCAUUGAUACUGCGGGGCUAGAGUACAGAUGAGGUAGGCGGAAUUGACGGUGUAGCGGUGAAAUGCUUAGAUAUCGUCAAGAACACCGAUAGCGAAGGCAGCUUACUAGACUGUAACUGACACUGAGGCACGAAAGCGUGGGGAGCGAACAGG
rnacentral:rRNA from 1 species